rnacentral:lncRNA from 1 species
GUAUGUACCCCCAGAAGUACUUCCGCUCAGAGAAGAAGGAGACGGCAAGCAGGGUGUACAGGAAGGCCCAGAACCAGCCUGCUGUCAGGAUCAGAACAAAAGAGGAGGACUGCAUAUGUAUGGACCCACUCCAGAUGGCACGGGGACGGGGGGAGUAGGAAAAGUGGCAUGAUGAGGAAAUGGAGGCACAGACUGAUUAGAAAACCAGCUCAAGGUCAUGUUGCUGAAAUACUUCUAAGGGGCCAGGCGUGGUGACUCAUGCUUGUAAUUCCAAGCACUUUGGGAGGCUGAGGCAGGUGGAUCACCUGAAGCCAGGAGUUCAAGAGCAGCCUGGCCAACAUGGCGAAACCCUGUCUCUACUAAAAAUACAAAAUUUAGCCAGGCAUGGUGGCGGGAGCCUGUAAUCUCAGCUCCUAGGGAGGCUGAGCCAGAAGAAUCGCUUAAACCUGGAAGCUGGAGGUUGCAGUGAGCCAAGAUCACACCACCACACUCCAGCCUGGGUGACAGAGCAAGACUCCAUCUCAAAAAGAAAAAAAAGAAA